rnacentral:rRNA from 1 species
CAGCCGCCGCGGGAAUACAGAGGGUGCGAGCGUUAAUCGGAUUUACUGGGCGUAAAGCGUGCGUAGGCGGCUUUUUAAGUCGGAUGUGAAAUCCCUGAGCUUAACUUAGGAAUUGCAUUCGAUACUGGGAAGCUAGAGUAUGGGAGAGGAUGGUAGAAUUCCAGGUGUAGCGGUGAAAUGCGUAGAGAUCUGGAGGAAUACCGAUGGCGAAGGCAGCCAUCUGGCCUAAUACUGACGCUGAGGUACGAAAGCAUGGGGAGCAAACAGGAUUAGAUACCCGCGUAGCCCUGUCUCUUAUACA